rnacentral:rRNA from 1 species
UACGGAGGGUGCAAGCGUUGUUCGGAAUUACUGGGCGUAAAGGGCUCGUAGGCGGCUAACUAAGUCCGACGUGAAAUCCCUCAGCUUAACUGGGGAACUGCGUGUGAUACUGGAUGGCUUGGAUUUGGGAGAGGGAUGCGGAAUUCCAGGUGUAGCGGUGAAAUGCGUAGAUAUCUGGAGGAACACCGGUGGCGAAGGCGGCUCACUGGCCCGGUACUGACGCUGAGGUGCGAAAGCGUGGGGAGCAAACAGG